rnacentral:lncRNA from 1 species
UGUAUCAGCUGGUGAGAGCAGCUGUGAGCCACAGAGACGCCAGGUUUCCUCACCCGUGGCAUCCCAGCUUGCUAAGAAGAGAAAGAGGUCUGACACACCAUGCACAUCAGAAUCGGAUGAUGGGUUGGUUCCCGAAAAUGAGGUUCGAGCCGCCAGGAAAGAGGCUAGGUUUUGGAAGGCGCAGUAUCACCUUCAGUGUCAACAUAAUGCGUCACUUAAAAGCCAACUGUCGUUUUUACAAGAGACGGUGAAAACACAGGUUCAUUUCAGCAUUUGCUGGAAGAAAUGUCAGAGACCAGAGGUGAGCACUUCAUGUUUGAAACAAAGAAAAUGAUGGAACCCUUUAGCAUAUCAUGGGGUUGCUUUGCCAGUCUUUUAGUUAGCAUAUGAUGGCUAGCUUCUAGAAAUGGCUGCGAGUAAUA